GGAAGGAUCAUUAUCAAGCAUGGGAUUCCAUAUUCCGUGAAGACACCCCUUCCGAGUUCCUGUACUUGUUGCUUUCGUGGGAUUUGUAUCCUCCCCGAGGGGUGGGAAACCAACCCACGGAAGAUAUUUGCAAAACCCAAGUGUCACGUGUCUGUCUGAGCAUGGUAUUCAAUAAUUGAUUGAAAAUGAGUAAAAACUUUCAACAACGGAUCUCUUGGUUCUCGCAUCGAUGAAGAACGCAGCGAAUUGCGAUAAGUAGUGUGAAUUGCAGAAUUCCGUGAAUCAUCGAAUCUUUGAACGCACAUUGCGCCUUUCGGUAUUCCGAAGGGCAUGCCUGUUCGAGCGUCAUGAAAUAAAGGGAAAACCCAAUCGAGCUUGAAAAUUCCAUCCGGCUCGGUGUUGGAAAUGGAGUGGUUCCAUCAUCACACCUAUCCGAAAUAAAAUGGCGAAGUUGGAUGUUCCAAUCGGCGUAGUAAUCAAACACUAUGUUCCGCUGUUGUGCAACCUGUCUUCCGCCACUAAAACCCUCAUGCUGCAUUGUUUUUGACCUCGAAUCAGGUAGGGAUACCCGCUGAACUUAAGCAUAUCAAUAAGCGGAGGAAAAGAAACCAACAGGGAUUGCCUCAGUAACUGCGAGUGAAGCGGCAAGAGCUCAAAUUUGAAAUCUGACGUCUCAAGCGUCCGAAUUGUAAUUUGGAGAGCAUUAUCUUCGGACCGAGCAUCAUCCUUCAAAUUCCUUGGAAUGGGAUGUCGCAGAGGGUGAGAACCCCGUUUGUGGCGAUGGCUGCCUCGGUUCAUUUGUGAAGAUGGCUUCGACGAGUCGAGUUGUUUGGGAAUGCAGCUCAAAAUGGGUGGUAAAUGUCAUCUAAAGCUAAAUACCGGCGAGAGACCGAUAGCGCACAAGUAGAGUGAUCGAAAGAUGAAAAGCACUUUGAAAGAGAGUCAAAAAGUACGUGAAAUUGUUGAAAGGGAAGCGCUCAAGAUCAGACUCAAUCUGUGGUGAUCAACGGUGCUUCUGCACCGUGCACUUGCCAUAUAUUGGGACAGCAUAGGUUUGAAUGGCGGGACAAAGGUUCGGGGAAUGUAGCUCGCUUCGGCGAGUGUUAAUAGCCCUGGGCGUAAUGCCGUCUGUUCGGAUCGAGGACUGCGCUUUUUGCUAGGAUGCUGUCAUAAUGAUCUUCAGCGACCCGUCUUGAAACACGGACCAAGGAGUCUAACAUCUAUGCGAGUGUUCGGGUGGAAAACCCUUGCGCGAAAUGAAAGUGAAUGGAGGUGGGAACCGUCUCGGUGCACCAUCGACCGAUCCUGAUGUCUUCGGAUGGAUUUGAGUAAGAGCAUAGCUGUUGGGACCCGAAAGAUGGUGAACUAUGCCUGAAUAGGGUGAAGCCAGAGGAAACUCUGGUGGAGGCUCGCAGCGGUUCUGACGUGCAAAUCGAUCGUCAAAUUUGGGUAUAGGGGCGAAAGACUAAUCGAACCAUCUAGUAGCUGGUUCCUGC
rnacentral:misc_RNA from 1 species